UACGUAGGGGGCAAGCGUUGUCCGGAUUUAUUGGGCGUAAAGAGCGUGUAGGCGGCCGUACAGGUCAGCUGUGAAAACUCGAGGCUCAACCUCGAGACGUCGGUUGAAACCGUACGGCUAGAGUCCGGAAGAGGAGAGUGGAAUUCCCGGUGUAGCGGUGAAAUGCGCAGAUAUCGGGAAGAACACCCGUGGCGAAGGCGGCUCUCUGGGACGGUACUGACGCUGAGCUGCGAAAGCUAGGGGAGCAAACAGG
rnacentral:rRNA from 1 species